rfam:Byssochlamys spectabilis No. 5 DNA, contig: PVAR5_00008_3.
GUCUCUGUGGCGCAAUUGGUCUAGCGCGUUCGACUGUUAAUCGAGAGGUUGGAAGUUCGAGCCUUCCCAGGGACG